UACGUAGGGUGCGAGCGUUGUCCGGAAUUAUUGGGCGUAAAGGGCUCGUAGGCGGUUUGUCGCGUCGGGAGUGAAAUCCACUGGCUUAACUGGUGGCUUGCUUUCGAUACGGGCAGACUGGAGGUAUGCAGGGGAGAACGGAAUCCUGGUGUAGCGGUGAAAUGCGCAGAUAUCAGGAGGAACACCGGUGGCGAAGGCGGUUCUCUGGGCAUGUCCUGACGUGAGGAGCGAAAGCGUGGGGAGCGAACAGG
rnacentral:rRNA from 1 species